rnacentral:misc_RNA from 1 species
AAAGUCGUAACAAGGUCUCCGUAGGUGAACCUGCGGAGGGAUCAUUAAUGAACGGCCCUCUGGGCCUUCAAACCCUCAAAACCUGUGGAAGAGAAAACCGUGCUUCGACGCCCUCGGGCGUCGCAUUUAUGCGUUUGAUUUGGCUUUGUGUCCGAAAUAUGAAUCGAAUUAAAACUUUCAACAAAGGAUCUCUUGGCUCUU